rnacentral:rRNA from 1 species
UACGUAGGGUGCGAGCGUUAAUCGGAAUUACUGGGCGUAAAGCGUGCGCAGGCGGUUUUGUAAGCCAGAUGUGAAAUCCCCGGGCUUAACCUGGGAAUGGCAUUUGGGACUGCAAGGCUUGAGUGCGGCGGAGGAGACUGGAAUUCCCGGUGUAGCAGUGAAAUGCGUAGAUAUCGGGAGGAAUACCGAUGGCGAAGGCAGGUCUCUGGGCUGACACUGACGCUCAUGCACGAAAGCGUGGGGAGCAAACAGG